UACGUAGGUGGCGAGCGUUGUCCGGAUUUACUGGGUGUAAAGGGCGUGUAGGCGGGGAAACAAGUCAGAUGUGAAAUCCCGGGGCUUAACCCCGGAGCUGCAUCUGAAACUGUUUUUCUUGAGUGCUGGAGAGGAAAGUGGAAUUCCCAGUGUAGCGGUGAAAUGCGUAGAGAUUGGGAGGAACGCCAGUGGCGAAGGCGGCUUUCUGGACAGUAACUGACGCUGAGGAGCGAAAGCGUGGGGAGCAAACAGG
rnacentral:rRNA from 1 species